rnacentral:hammerhead_ribozyme from 1 species
GUACUGCUGAUGAGUCCCACGAUAGGACGAAACGGCCGUCCAGUGC